GACGUAGGGCGCGAGCGUUGUCCGGAUUUAUUGGGCGUAAAGAGCUCGUAGGCGGCUUGUCGCGUCGACUGUGAAAACCCGAGGCUCAACUUCGGGCUUGCAGUCGAUACGGGCAGGCUAGAGUUCGGUAGGGGAGACUGGAAUUCCUGGUGUAGCGGUGAAAUGCGCAGAUAUCAGGAGGAACACCGAUGGCGAAGGCAGGUCUCUGGGCCGAUACUGACGCCGAGGAGCGAAAGCGUGGGGAGCGAACAGG
rnacentral:rRNA from 1 species